GGAUUGUUCACCCACCAAUAGGGAACGUGAGCUGGGUUUAGACCAUCGUGAGACAAGUUAGUUUUACCCUACUGAUGAUAGUCUCUCAAUAGUAAUUCAACCUUGUACGAAAGGAACCGUUGAUUCGCAUAACUAGUCAUCGCACUUGGUUGAAAAGCUAGAGGGUGAAGCUACCAUGCACUAGAUUAUGACUGAAGGCCUAUAAGUCAAAAUCUGGGCUCGAAGCGACACAUGAGCCCAUUGUCCACUUGUCAACCCGCAGUAGGGGUUAUUUGGCCCUCAAAGGCAUAUGUCGUUGGUGAAGCCUGCGCGGCAGAUGAGCUAUGCAGGCCACCUUGAAGCACAAUUCCUAUCCGAGCAAUGGGUAGAAUCCUUUGCAAAUGACUUAAAUACACGACGGGGUAUUGUAAGUGGCAAAGUGGCCUUCCUGCCACGAUUUACUAAGAUUCUGCCCAGCGUCGCUCCGAUUCGUCCCUCCC
rnacentral:rRNA from 1 species